UAGGAUCGAUUCGAUAGGGUUAUGUUUUCUGGUAUAGAUUGAAGGAAUGGAUUAAGGUUUAGAACAAAAGAGAUAGAGGUACAUGAAUUAGAAAACUAAGAAGAUCAUGGCGAUGUUGAUAUAUGCUCUUGGCAUCUGUUCGACUAACAAAAAAAACUCCCAAAAAAUUCAAAACCACGAUGUGUAUCUAUGAUCGAAAAACAAAAAUAAAGAUUAGAUGGGAUGGUCGAUUACCUUCUUGUAGGUUGUAUCAGCAGCAUAUACUGGCAGUGGUGGUAACAAACGGCUGCCAAAGACUCAAGAGAUAAAGGAGAGACAUAGGAGAUAUGCUUUGAGAGCCUUUGACGAUGGUUGAUUGAACAAUGGUUGUGUGCAGAAAAAAACCGAUGAAUGAAAUUAGGUUUGAAACGUAAGAGGUAAGUUACAAUUUGAAGUGCGUGUAUAUUUGAAGAUGGCAUCAUUAAAAUGAUCUAAAGGUGGAGAUAAUAGAAGUGAAAUACAAUCCAGGGUCCUUAAUUCUUCAAUUUAGAAUUUAAGGUUCUCUUUUAAUAAUAUUUAGAGAUGUGAUUCUUAUGCCAGCCCUCAACCUAAAAAGAAACGAUCGUGCUCCUCUUUUGACGGCUGCUUCAUGCUCGGCGUAAGUAAGACGAUAUCGACUCCAAAGGGAGAAAGCGCGAGAGUGAUUGAAAGAACCAGAGACGCGUGUGUGGUAUGUUUCCGAUGACUUAUUGCUGCAAACCGAUCACUACCUUGUGCCACAACUGUAUGUCGUCACAACAUGGUAAACUUUCUUUACCUUUUGUUUCACACUUGCUAUCCUCUUUUUCCUGUAGAAUUUGAUUCGUUUCUUUCCGGUCCUAUUCUUCCCGUCGUCUUAAUUGAUGUGUAUGUAUUCCUCCUCUCGUUUCCAUUUCAUGAAUGUUGCUGCCUGAUAUUUGCAUAUUUAGUUCAUAUUAAGUAUAGAUUUUUUUUUUAUCAUUUAUUAACUAAUUUAUUGCACUACAUGGACAAAAGGUACUUAAAAGUGUUUGAAUUAUGUUUUCCGUCCAAAAGUGAAGCUCGGAAGAAAAAGGAAGCAGGAGAAGCGGUUGGGAGCUCGGGAAUUGAACAAAGAAGAAAACCAUCAAAAACAACACCUACUCGGCGAGUAGGCUCGUCUACUCGGCGAGUCUGAACGAAUAUUCAAGAAGAUAAAGACUCAGAGACCCAGAGACUUAUUGCAUAUGGGGAUUGAGAGAUAGACUCGGCGAGUCGGCACCUGCCUCGACGAGUCGUUUCGCAAAUAUAAAGAUAACUUCUCAGAUCGAAAAGGAGAGAAUUCUGGAACCCUUCUGAAGAGAUUAGCUGCGAUUAAAGAGCCAGAAGAACCUUGGAGAACAAAGAUACAACCUAGAAUCCAAUUCCGAAGGAGAUUUGAGGCAAAUUUUCAUCAUUCUACUUAAUUUUUUUUCCAUUAUGGCUAGACAAUUAGAGUCUAUUUGUUUGCUGUUAUUUACCUCAAUCAUGAGCUAAAACUCGUAAAUUUCUGUUUGGGGAUACAAAAUUGAGACUAUGGUUUGAUUGUUGGUAGGAUUAAUUCAAUAUUGGUGAUUUUUGUUAUUUUUAGCUUGCUAAAGAACCUUGUGUGUGAAUGAUAAUUAAUUUUCUAUUAAUAGGAAGGUAAUUAAAUAGUAUGAACAUCUUUUGAUUAUCAACCUCAUAUGUUUACAUGACCACUUCAUCAUAUGUCUAGGAUUAAUGAACAUGAAACAAGAAUUAAUAAUAAAAUUAAGUAAAUUCAUGUGUGAGCUUGUGUGAUGACCAUCAACAAGAAAUUAACUAAAGUACCAAAUUAGUUAAUUAUUGCAAGUCUAAAUUAACUCGAAUAAUUAAUCUAGUGAAUUUAAUUAAAUUAGACAACUGAUCACUGUUUGAGUUAGUUAUUUCACUAAGGGUUAGUGUAGUGAACGCGAAGCUAAUCAUUAGAGUCGGUAGCCAAUAAAAGAAUUAAUCCAUUGCACUAUUACCAUAAAAUCAACCAUAGGAUCAGUUGAACUAAAUAGAAGUUCCUUCCCAUUAUUGAAUCUAGUUAAUUCUUUGCUUUUCUAGUUUUUAGAUUAAGCGAUAGUUAAUAAGUUUCUAGUCUUGUAAAACUAGAGAAAACCCUUACUUAUUAAUUAAAUUAGAUAGAAUUAGUUUUUAGUUUUAAUUUACCGUUCCCUGUGUUCGAUACCCUACUUAUGUAGCUAUACCAUAAUUGAUAGGUUCACUACCUUUGUGUGUUCAUUUUAUAAUUAAAGUAGGUUUAAAACUAAGUUGUUCCGCACACAUCACUGCCCAAACUACUCUAGUUUUCUUGAAAUAUCAACACAUGUAGUAUCGAAUUGUUGCUGCCAUUGGUCCUAUUCUAAAUAUCCCCAAUUAUGAGUUAAUAGUUCAUGCAUAUCUAAACCCUAUGGUGUCUCAGUAUUGCUGUUGCAACAUACAUAUUUUGACCUUGAAAAAGAAAAACGAUGCAUACAUGUUGGAGGUAGUAUACUAGUUAUUUAAUCUUAAUUGUAAAAAAUAGCAAAAAAAUAAAUAGUAAGAGUAAGCCUAUGGGAGUGUUUAGGAUUUAUUCUUCUAUUUGUUAUCAUAACAUGAAGCUUAAUGGACAUAAAAUUAGUGAUGGCUUUAUGCCUUUAUAAUUGUUUUGGAAUAAAAGAAACGUAAAACAAAUACAUCACAUUGUCCAUAACAUUUAAAUAGUUUGAAAGCCAAUAAAACAAAUUAAAUAAUAGAUAUGAUAUUUUCUUAAUAGUAUCAUUCAAUCCUUUUGUGUGUAAAAUUGAGUGACUAUAAUCCUUUACCUAAAGUCUCGAAGCAUAUGGUGAUUUUUGGUGAAUGUUGGAUUUUUGCACAACAACUUUUCCCCAUCUUGAGAGAGCUAUAGCUGCUAAUCUGGGAAGAAUUGGAAGAUGCUCCUCUCUUAUGAAGUUCUAGGAAAUUGAGUCUAGUUUCCUGAAAGUCUGAUGUCGUCCCAAUUAGAUCUGUAGAUUCGCUUUUAUGCUUAACGUACUGAACGGGGGUUGGGUGGGGAAUUAUAAAAAAUAUAUAUAUAAAAGUUAGAAUAAAGUUGUAUUUUUGAAACAUAUACUUUAUUUGUUAAUUGCUUGUUAUGUAUGGUGUUUAGGUGGGGCCUUGAGAAUUUCAAGAAAGUUCAAGACAUGGAAUAGAAGGAGGAUUUCUUCAAGGCUAAAGGUGAGUUCACAGUUUUAACUCACUAAGGUUGCAUGAUUAAAACGUGCAAUCUGUAGAUGGUGAUUUAAUUCAAAUUGGGAUGACCAUGUCAUUACUUGUGCUUGAUGAUUAUAUGAUAUUUUUGAUGCUAAUAUAUGAUUUAUGCUAAUUCCAUGUUAUGACCUAAUUGUUAUGAUGCUUACACUUUAUUGAACUUGAUGUAUGUAGUAUGCUAGCUUAAGUUGCUCGAAUUAUGAUUGAUAUGUUUUGGUUGAAAUUGCUUGUGAUGAUUGUGCCUAAUGAAACCCAUAUUCAUAUGUUAUGCUUGAUUGAUGGUAUGUCUUUUUGUUACAUUGCUUGAAUUGGUUGAUCAUCUAGCAUGCUCAUUUUGAAUUAAAGAUGUAAUUCAUUGAUAGACAUAUGUCAUAACAAGGUGAUAGUAUGAUGAAUUUUAUUAUAUGCUGCAUUGCUCCUUAAGGUCUAUAUGAGUAGCAUGUCUACGUUGAUGUAUGAUUGUUCGUUUGUGGGGUAUAAUUGUGUCAUGGGUAGAACCUUGCAAGUUUAAUCGGUUGAAAGAGCUUAAGCCAUAACGGUGAUUAGUUACACGGUCUUUCUAGAUUUUAGUGUGACACAUGGUUCGCGUGCACCUCGGUGUACGGGAACUGGAGCGGUGUUGGCUUUAUGGUGUAGCUGGAUGAAACAUCACGUGGGAAUUGGGAGGUGUAUCAUUAGAAUUCACACUAUUUGUACUGAUCCUGAACGACACCACGAGGCACUUGUACUUUGUAAAGUUGGAGUAGCGAAAGUGGAGUCAUGGGGUUGGUGUUUCGGGUGGAAGUCAUGAGCCACUUAGAGCAUUUAGUUGGCCGUGCACACAGGUAGUGAACGGGGUGUUUCUCUUGGGUUGGGUAGCACUAAUGGACACUUUUCUAUCAAUCGGUUGGAUAUAUAUAAUAAAAGGUUGAAUAAGUAACAAAAGGUUGGUUACAUAUUAAAAGGUUGACUAUAUAACAAAGGUUGGUUGUAUAUUAAAAGGUUGAAUAUGUAAUAAAAGGUUGGUUAUUGAUAAAAGGUUGAACAAUUAAAGGUUGCUUAUAUAUGAAAGAUGAUUAUUGAUAUGCUAUGUGGUUGCUUACGUGGUAUUUGGUUGAACAUAUACGUUAUGUGGUAGAAUUAUGGUUAAACAUAUAUGCAUGUAUGCGGUUGAAUAUGUGAUUAAAUAGUUAUGACAUGCGGUUGUUUUCUAAGUGGUAUUUGUCUAUCAUUUUUAUGCUUCAUUGUAAAAUGAAUGAUUGACCCAUUUGGGGUUUGUAUGUUUUAUAUACAACUUUAUGAACUCACUCGGCAGGGCUGACACUUGUAUCUUCUCUCUUUUGUGCCUUAUGAUUGGUGAAGACGGUUUAGAAGAUUGGCAUUCGUGAGAGGGGUUCCUAUGGGUAGCUUUGUAUUAACGAUACCACUCUUAGACAUAUUUUUGAUUAUUUACUUUAAAGUACUUUUGUUUACAUUUUAACUAGUUUGGAAUUAUGUUUGAGUUUUUUAAGUAACGUUGUGGUUUUGAAUUAAAAACUAAGUCUUCCGCUAACGUAUUCUAUUAAAUAAAUGUUUUAAAAAGAAAAAAAAUUAUUGUGAAAAUCACGACGUUACAGAUUUAGCCUAAUUUCAAUUGCUUUUAUCAAUUUGGUUUAGCCCGAUUUAAAAUUAUUUUAAAGAAUGCGGUCCACAUAUUAAAAUUAGAAGAGGAUCCAAACACCCCGUCGCCAAAAUUGAGUCAGGAUGCAAUAUACUUUGCUUGUUAGUAAUAAUGAUAUUGGUUUAAUUAAAUAAUAUUUGGGAUAAGGUUGUAACAUUCGUUUGCAAUAUUUCUAAAUUUCCUACGAUUUGCAAAAAAGUUGUACUAGGUUUUUAUUUUGACGUACCAGAAGUAAGCCACCCAUAAGAUUCCACACAAUGGGAAACGCCUUAUUUUGAUUGAUAAUAUCUUCUUUCAGAUGAUCUUAUUCAUGGCCACUUCCCAUCAGUUUGUGUGCCUACAUUCAUUACUUUGAUAGCAUUUUCAUGCUAAUAUUGUAAUGAGAAGUUUGAUUUGUUGAACUUAAAAUUAAUUAUGUUCCAGUGGAGUUACAAACCAAUGUCGUCACAUCAUUUUGAAAAAGGAACAUGCAACUAAGAUUGACAAACAUAUCUAUAUGUUUGUAUAUAAGGUACAUUUAGGUUCCAAGUUUCAAGUACAAUGCAGUUGAAAAAUCAAUAUAUUUGAAAUAUCACGACUUUUUACUUUAAAAAAAUAUCAUUAAUUAGGAACAAUCCCGUCUAUGUUAGUCGAGAUUUUUUAUAUGCAUGUGGAUACAAACUAGAUCUUGAGAUACACAAAAUCUAAUUUGGAAAGCUUGUGUGUUUCUUAAUUAUGGGAAAACUUCUCGUUCAUUUUGCAAUUUUUGGUCAUCGAAGGUAAUAGAGGAUAUUGUAGUUCACAAAAUGGUAUUUGGUGUAUAUUUGCUCCAAAAUUACUUUCAUGAGCUUUCGAUUGAUUUUAUUUAUGUAAUAGUACAUAUGUUUCUAUGGGUUAAUCUGAUCAAUAUAAAGGUUUUGUAGGUUAACCAAAUAAACUGGUUUCACAUUUUUCUUAAAGUGGAACUUAAUGUAAAAAGAGGUUUUCCAGCUCAAGUAAAUAUUAAUCACUUUAUAAAUAAUUACCAUGGCAAUGUAGUUGUUUCCACAUUAAGCAUAUUAAUUCACAUCGCAAUGUUUGGAGAUCCACAUUUAUUGUCUUCUAAUGACUAGAAUUCAAGGUAUUAUUAUUGAAGUUUAAAUUACGUGAUCAUAUUUUAGUUGCACUUGCAAAUAGUAAAAAAAUUUGGAUAUUAUUUAUUUAAGAUUGAGACCCAUUCUGAAAACCAUUAAUCGAUCAUAUAUAAAAUAUAUAUAAAAAAAUAUCAUGAUCAAAACCAUUUCUGAACCUGUAAAAAUUUCGAUAUCUUCAAAUAAUAAAAAUAAGAAUAUGAAAAUUGCAUAACAUAAUCGAAACUUCUGUUUAAUUUUAUUAUGGUGCCAUUGAUAGUAACCAAACCAUCUCCAAGAAAUAACUCCAGGAUUGAAUCCACGCCCCCAUCCUGAUUCCUGCACGAGAUACUCGAAAUCGCUAAAUACAAUUUGGAAAAAAUAUGAUGACGGAAGAAACAAAAUCAAAAAGCAAACGCCAAACAUAGUGAAAAAAAAUCAAUUCAUGGAAGCAUCAAAACAAAAUAGGACCCAUGAUUAGAAUUAUAAACCAAAGUUGUGAUACUAAUUUUUAAUGUUAAAGACUUCUUGUCGGAUGUCAUUAUAGGAAUGCCACGUUCUCGGUGGGGGCAAGAAAUGGUAAAGGAGGGCAAUGAUGGAGUCAGAGGAGGUUAACAAAGAUUAUUUGAAUUUACGAAGGAUUUAUACUCUCCUAGUUUUAUAAAAUACACAACAAUGUUUUGUAUAUUUUGUAAACUAAUAUCACCACUCUGGUCUUAAGGUUUUAAGACCACAACUCUUUAUAUAUACAGAAGAUAUAGGAUUUUUUGGAAACAUGCUCUUUACACAUACAAAUAAAGGAAAAAAAAGAGCAUACAUGCAAUUAUACACGAUUUUUGGAAUGAGACUCACAAUCUACUUUUAUAGAAAAUACUGGAUUUCUGAAAUUUUCAACUUAUUACAAACAAAUAUGCUACAAAGUUUUCUUUCAAACACGCUUAUAAACUCACCAACAUUCUAUGUUGACGCUUUUUAAAAUGACUUGUAUUCUCAGGGACUCAGUGAACAGGUACUCGAGUCUCGCAUCUGGAUAUUUUGUUAUCUUUUUGAGACAUCGUGCUUUGUGUUAUUUUUGUGUAAUUGAUAAACAACUGCAAUAUGUAAGCAAUGAAUGCUGGUAUAUUGUAAUGUAUGAUGUUUGGUUGGUAAGUAUCAUUUAUCAACUACUAUGAUAUUACACAAUGACGUCAUCUGCCCCCGGACAUUUCCGCCGUCCAGGUUAGGGGGGUGAUAUAAAUAUUAAUCACUUUAUAAAUACUUAUCAUGGAAAUUUAGUUGUUUCCACAUUAAGCAUAUUAAUUCAUAUUGGAAUGUUUGGAGAUCCGCAUGUAUGGUCUUCUAAUGACUAGAAUUCAAGGUAUUAUUGUUGAAGUUUAAAGUACUUUAUCAUACUUUAGUUGCACUUGAAAAUAUUCAAAAUUUUGGAUAUUAUAUAGUAGAGAUUGAGACCCAUAUUAGGAACCUAUAAUAUCCAUAUUUUACCAUAAAAAAAUCAACAAUAAUUCUCAGAAACCCGGUCUUAAAACCAUUAUUCGAUCAUAGAUAAAAAAAUAUCAUGAUCAAACCCAUUUCUGAACCUGUAUAAAUUUCCACAUCUUCAAAUAAUAAAAAGAAGAAUACGAAAAUUGCAUAACAUAAUCGAAACUUGUGUUUAUUUUAUUAUGGUGCUGUUCAUAGGAACCAUAUCGGCUCCAAGAAAUAACUCCACGGCUGAUUCCACGCCCCCAUCCCAAUUCCUACACGAGAUACUCGAAAUUGCUAAUUACAAUUCGGAAAAAUAUGAUGAUGGAAAAACAAAAUCAAAAAGCAACCGCCAAACAUAGUCACCAAAAAUGAAUUCAUGGAAGCAUCAAAACAAAAUAAGACCCAUGAUUAGAAUUAUAAAUCAAAGCUAUGAUACUAAUUUUUAGUGUUAAAGAGUUUUUGUCCGAUGUCAUUGUAGGUUAACAAAGAGAACCACUAAAAAGGGCAAGAGCAACCAAGGCGAGCAAAUAGAAGAUGAAUUUGCAGAAGUUGGGGACCAAGUUGUUGAUUCCAUCUCGAUCCUAUCAACUAUAUUUAUGUGAUCCAACUUACCUAGAAAAUCGUCCUAUUUAGACAAAUCAAUGCCAUGGUUCAAUUAUCAUCUAUCUCCACUACAUUUUUGGCAGACAAAAAAAGUAGAGAAAACUAGUACACGUGAAAAUGACAAAAAUAAAAAUAAUAAUCAAUGAAAAGAAACUUUGAAGCUGGCAUAGAGGAGAGAGAUCUCGACAAACACAAUCCAAAUUCUUUUGGUAACUUGUGUCUGUAAUCCAAUUUGGAAGGAAACUUUGAAUAUGCCAAAUACUCCACUAAAUUAGUUCAAAAGAAAAUUUGAAUUUUAGGAAAAGUUUAGCCGUAAAUGUAUUUACUUUGUUAUAAUUAAAAGAUAUCUUAUAGGAUUUUCACAAAACUACUUGAAAAGAAAUUUUCACUUUUGGGAAAUUGAAAAUCCUUUCAUUGUUAUGAAGUGUACCAAAUUCAUUGGAAUCAAUAUAAAUAGAAACAUAUAAACUGAAGCUCAAAAUCUUUUGUAAUUAUGGAGGAUUCUUAGAGAUAGAGUGCUAAUCGCUCUCAUUAUUUGAACACUUAGUUUUAAUAAUUUUAGUACCAAACUCAUUGGAAUCAAUAUAAAUAGAAACAUAUGAAUUCAAUUGGACUCAAAAUCUUUAGUAAUUAUGGAGGAAUCUUAGACAUAGAGUGCAAAUCGCUCCUAUUAUUUGAACUCUUAAUUAAGAUAAAUUUAGUAUAAAUAUGUUCACCACCAACUCUUGAGAUCACCUACCGUGUAAGGAUGUUCAUGAAUAUGUAAUUUCUACUCAUGUUCUUUAUUCUUAGCCUUCUCAUCAUGAGUGAGUUAAUUAGUCUAUUAAUCCCUUGAGGAUUUGAAUAUGUGUGUGUGUGUGUGUGUGUGUAUAUAUAUAUAUAUAUAUAUAUAUACCCGAGUUUGAUAAAAUUUAUUUAAAUUACAGUCUAAAAUAAAAUAUAAUUUGAAAAAGAUUUAUAAAAUUGUUAUAUCACCUUAUAAAUAUCUUCUAUAUUUUAUAUAAAAUUUAAAAAUUAUAGCCCAUCAAUCUUUUAAAUCGUAGUUUUUGGAAAAUCUUAGUUUAAGCGUUAUAUUUCCUCUAACACGUCUGUGUAUGCAGCUAUUGAUGGGAGCAACAAUGGCAAAAAAACAUCGAAAUUGCAAUGAUGAAGACCAAAUCAAGUAAAGUAAGUCCACCACCAGCUACUCUAGAUUCUGAUGACACAUUUCAUGAUAACAAGUUGACGGGUUUUUGUAUGCCAAGUCCAUCAACAAGAUGCCAUGGAACAAGAAAAAGUUGUUACUGUUGUAUUGGGCCACAAGAAGUAAUAUGCAUAGAAGGCUAUGAGAUAUGUUAUGAUAUAUGUAAUUAAAAUAAAUGUUACACAUAUGAUAACAUGUAAUUUAUUUUUCAUAUAAAUAAUAGUAAAUUACAUUAAUGGUCUUUAUAGUUUCGGGUAUUCUGCACUAUUGGUCCCCAACUCUUGGAUCCUCCUUUUUAUAUAUAUUUAAAGAAAUAAUAUUCUCAUAUAUUUUCCUACUAUAUAUCCGCCUACUGAUAUUAAAUGGUGACAAGUGUAUUAGUAUACUUUUAAUUACAUUUAAUUUGACACAUGUCAACAUUUAACAUGGGAUAGGAACAAGUUAUAAGAUGAUAUUUAAUUUUCAUAUUUUCAGUGCAGUUUUGCUCCUAGGUAUUCAUUAAAGUCAUGAAAGAACUGUAUUAACUUUAUUUAUUUUUUAAAAAAUUAUUUACUAUUAACCCGUUAAAAAAAUUCAUCAUAUUUGGGUUCCACUUUCACCCUUUGCCCAUUUAUCCAUAAGUCAUCGUGAACUACUUGUUAAAACAAUUUCAUGUUCAUGUGUUCUAGGCUUCUAAUAUUCAAUAUAUUCUUUUAUAUAAUAUUCUUUUAUCAUAAAUAAUUUAAAUCAUAUGUUUGAUUAGUAGAUGAUGAUUAACCUUUCUUCUAAUAAGACAGAGAAAAAUUUAAGGAAAGUAUUUUAAUAAAUGAGCACAUCUAUUUAAGUAGCUAUUAAUAAAUAAAAUAAAAUCAAAAUUUAACAUAAAACAUAUAUGUAUAAAGGACCUAGUUAAAUAUUAAGUUACAAAAGAAAGGCAUCGUAUUAUUUUUGUGUGCAGAGACUAAUGAAUAGUUCAAUGGUUCGUGCUUGUAGUCUUGUUGUAAGCAUGGCGAUACACCUAGAUUCGAAUGCUGGUCCUUGAACUUUUUUUUUUGUCUAAAACUAAUUUUCUUAAAUUUCUCUCAUUAAAAGGUUAAUGUUGUCUUUUAAGUUUUUUUAGGAGGAAAAUCAAUAAAAAGUUUUAUUUUGGACUUUCCAUACAAGCAAAAACUUUUAAGUCUCUAGCUAUAGUUUUUUGUAAACCACCAAGACCAAUUUUGCAGGUGCUUCCAAAAUCUUUUAUGUGCUAUAUUAACAUAUAUGCCUAUAAUGUUUUUCCCUUUUUUCUUUAUAUAGAUUUUGUAACGCCCCGAAAUUCCUAUCGUAAAUGACGUUAGUUUCCGUUACGUGCUAGUUAUUUUUUUUGUAAAUGAUCUCGACUUUAAGGUUAUAAAUCAUAAUAUAUUAAAUAAAAGUGAUGUUAUUUAAUAUUUAAAAGAGUUAGAUAAUAAAUUAAAAGGUGAAUAAAUAAAUUAAUUAAAUUAAAAAAAAUAUUUAGGAUAAAUAAAAUCCAUUAAAAGUAAAAAUAAAAUCCAAGAGUCUAAUUGCCAUUUUAGAAGGUAAUGCAUGUAGUUAAUUUGGAUUAUAGGGUCUAUGUGCCUUUAUGGCUAAACUCUAGGGACCAAAGUUAUAAAAUUGGAAUUAAAACACCUCAUUUACAUGAAUUGUAAAUGUGAGUCUCCUCCUUCUCUUCUUUAGUAGGCGUUACACUAGAUUAUGACCCGCGUUAAACGCGGGUCACAUAUAAAAAAAUAGAUAAAAUAACAUAAAGAGACUUCGUGUUAUUGAUUAUUAUAAUGUGUAAAAAAAAUAAAACGAAAUAUUUGAUUAUAUAUAAUUGUUGAAGGACCUCUUUGUAGACAACAUUUUUUGUUUUAGAAGGGUGAUGAACGAUGGAUGAUGGAAGCCGGCAGCAGAACGUUGGCACACCAUUUUAUUCUUGUGUGUCGUGUAUCAUACCUGAUAUUAUGUAGGGUUAAUAAGGAUAAAACUCAUACCCUAUUCAUAUAUAGAUUUUUCAAAGAAAAUUAGGUAGGAAGCAUAUAUUUUGAAUAAUUAAAUGAAUGAAAAUGAUUCAAAAAUCGAUCUAAAAAUAAUCUUAAUCGUACCAAAUUUAAUAAGAUGUUUAAAAUAUUUUUCUUUUAAAUAAAUAAAGAUCAUAUAAAACCAAAUUCAAUUAGAGUCUUCAAUUUUUUUCGAAUUAUAAUUAUAAUCUUAGAAUAUUUUCGAAUUAUAAUUAAAAGUUUAAAAUAUAGUAAAAAAUCGAUCAAAAAAUAAUCUGAAUCAUAUAUACAAAAGUUAAUAAGAUAUUUAGAAGAUUUUUCAUUUAAAUAAAUAAAGAGCAUAUAAUACCAAAUUUAAUUAGAUUUUGCAAAUUUUUUCGAUUUAUAAUUACAAUCUUAGAAUAUUUUCAAAUUACAAUAAAAGCUUAAAUUAAUUUCAAAUUAUAAUUAAUGUUAAUAAGAUUUAAAAAAAUUAUAACUAAAAUUUCAAAAGAAUUAUAAUUACCUGCCAAGCAACACCAUGACUUAAAAUAAAUGGAGGCAAGGGGGUGGCACUUUCAUACCGUGAAACCGCAAUGAAUGCACCAGUUGACUGAAUCAAAUAAUCGAAACUUGUAAAUAAUAAUAAUGUCGACUUUAAAAAUAUUAUCAAAAAAUAAAAAAACACAAAAACGGUCAAACGGUCAAACAAACCUCUACAAGAGUAACAAAAACAGUCAUCAUCAUGACAAAAGCUUCACCUGCAUCAAAAGAAGGUGCACCCCAUAGAAACAAAUAUAUAAUUCUUACCAUUACAAGUAUUAUAAAAAAAAUGUUACAAAAUUAAAUAAAAAAAUUAAGUACAAAAUUAACAGUGUGUGUAAUAAGUAACUAUGGUGCGAUAUCAAUUAAUACAGAACGAUCGGUACGACAACUUGUUUUUGUUUCUGGUGUUGUAUGCUUGUAGGUCCAACCAACCCUAAGCAAAUGAGCAAAAAACCAAACAAUUGCAAUCGAUGCCACAACUGGAAAAUUCUCUAAUAUCCCUUUCGUGAAUGUAUCAAAAGAGGCAGAUACUACACAUAACCAAACAAACCUAUUUUAGUAUUUAAUGAGGAAAGGCCUCAUAUAUAGUUUACCAGAUUAGGUGCACAGUAAUGCAUUAAAAUAUGACAUUAUUACCACUACUAGAAAAACAACCUUUUACGACGCGCAAACCACGACACUCGUUGAUUGAUGUUACGCAAAAGAGAGUGACAUUCAAAAAGUGUCAUCUCUUCAAAAAUUUUAAGGAUUUAGGUCACUUAUUAUUGCGUGCCCUUAAACUAGUAUCAUAAAGAAAUAAAAAUAAAAACACGGAGGGCGCUGUAUGUUAAAUGCGCACCCUCAGUAAGUGUCGCUUUAUAAUUUUAAUGAACGUGCUUUUUUUAGUAGAUAGGGGGGAAAUGAAAUCCCAAAAAAGUUAAAACCCCGCCUGUUGCGUCUCCUCCUUCUCCUUCUAAAAUCAUGGUUUAAGAACCCUAAUAGAAUUGAUUGUCAAUCCUUCUUCAAGAAAAUCGCAGGGAGUAUUUAUUGUAGGGAUUUUUUUUGAAGAACACACAAAACACUAUCAGCCUCACCAAUAACCUCUGUCUCACCUCACCUCGUCGGUGAGCUCAAGCUCACCUAUCCACAAAUUUAACUACGAUUCCUUAAAUCACCCUAAACCCUACCCUUUCUCUCUAUUCACGAUCCAGUAAUUGCGGCAAAGAAGAUCAACGAAGAAGACCAACUGGUUCGAAUUUAACUACGAUUCCUUAAAUCACCCUAAACCCUAACCUUUCUCUCUACUCACGAUCCAGUAAUUGCGGCAAAGAAGAUCAACGAAGAAGACCAACUGGUUCGAUUUAUCCCUAAAAUUGGUACAACUUCUCCUAAAUCUGACUUCACUCCACUCUUUGAGUUUGUUUUCUUCCUAAUCGAUGCAUCCGCCUUCUCGUCUCCCCCCUCCAUCAGGUUUUCUCUCAUCUCUCUCCUCCAGAGAUGAAGAUUCUCGGAGAUGUGAAGGGAGUAACCGAAAGAAACCCUCACACUACUAUGAUUGCACAAACACUUCUUCUCCUGCGACUUUAGUAUUUCAACUGUCCAAAAACUAUCAAACUUUUGAAUUGAAUGUCUUUUCAAUACCUAAAUAUCUUUCAAUGAGACUAAAGGGAUCACGAUGAAUCUCGAUACUUUGUUUAUGAAAAAGGGGGUAAAUAAAAACUGUUUUUUUUCCAAGAAUUGAAAAUGUUGUUGAUUUUGUAUGUAAUAGAAAAUAUUCCUUGUUAUGCAUUUGGUGGUUGAGGGAUUUAUUUUGGUAUUGUGCAGCUAUGAACUGAAAGGGGUUGAGGAAGAAGAAAUAGCUCGGUUAGCUGAGGAUGGUGACAUAUACAACAAGUUGUCUAGAUCAUUUGCUCCUGAGAUUUUUGGGCAUGAAGAUAUCAAGAAAGCUCUUUUACUCUUAUUAGUGGGGACUCCUCAUCGGAAGCUCAAGGAUGGGAUGAAGGUAAAUCAUAGUGUUUUUGUUUCUCUUUAAAAGCAUAUGCACAAUACAAGUAUGAGAUUAAAGUUGUGAUUCAGAUAAGAGGGGAUCUACAUAUAUGUUUGAUGGGUGAUCCUGGAGUUGCAAAAAGUCAGCUGCUUAAGCACAUAAUUACUGUUGCACCAAGAGGUGUGUAUACAACUGGAAAAGGAAGCAGUGGUGUUGGUCUUACAGCUGCUGUUCAGAAGGACCCGGUCACACAUGAGUUUGUGCUGGAAGGGGGGGCAUUGGUGAGUCAAAAUUUUGUUACUAUUCUAAUAUUAAUAUGUAAACAAAGAAAAUAUAUAUAAAUAAAUAAAUGGAUGGGUGUAGGUGCUGGCUGAUAUGGGGAUAUGUGCGAUUGAUGAGUUUGAUAAGAUGGAUGAGUCAGACAGGACUGCCAUACAUGAAGUCAUGGAGCAGCAGACGGUUAGCAUUGCCAAAGCCGGGAUCACCACAUCUCUCAAUGCAAGAACUGCAGUUGUUGCUGGUGCCAAUCCUGCCUGGUAUUAUUUACUCUUACCAAUUAUCAUUUAUUUUUUAAUUACUAAUACUAAUAUGAAUGUUUUGUUUGUUGAUUCAGGGGGAGAUAUAUCUCCGCAGAACUCCAGCUGAAAAUAUAAACCUGCCUCUUGCACUUCUAUCAAGAUUUGAUCUUUUGUGGUUGAUCCUUGACAAGGCAGAUAUGGACAAUGAUCUUGAAAUGGCCAGGCAUGUUGUUUAUGUCCACCAGAACAGAGAAUCUCCUGCCCUUGGCUUUGCUCCACUUGAAGCUUCUGUUCUCAGGUAUAUAUUCAUAUUCCCUUGAUAUCAUAUCACUCAAUGGUAAAAAAAAAGUUUGUAGUUGCAAAGUAUGAGAGGAUGGAUUGUGUUGUUGAUAUGAUAUAAUAAAUGAUGAUGAUAAUAGGGCAUACAUAUCAGCUGCUCGGAAGCUGUCUCCUAGUAUACCAAGAGAGCUGGAGGAGUACAUAGCCACUGCAUAUUCAAGCAUCAGGCAAGAAGAAGCAAAAUCAAACAGCCCUCACUCCUAUAUGAUAUAUAUCCAACAAAUAUACUUCUCUGUUUGCAUCCUAUAUGAUAAUAAUGACAACCGAUUUCAACAUUAAAUUACAAUAUGAAUGAAUCUUUAACGUGUCUUACCCCAGGCAAGUAAGUUUCUUAUUGCAAAACAUGUUCCUGCACUCCCAAUAAAACCCAAUACUAGUUAGCUCAAAUUAUGAUCAUAGUGUGAGGUUCAAAACAGAGUCAAAUGGCACAAAAGACAUUGUGUUUUUAUUUUUAUUAUUAUUAUUUUUUUCAUUUUGACACUGCAUUAUUUUUUGGUAGGUUGUAAAAAGUUGAAGACACUAACACAGAGAUUGCAACAAGGUAUAAUGUGUGGAGAGAUUGUUUUAUACUUAUUUAUUAUACAUUACUUUUUCCUUUUUGACUUUUGAAGUCAAACAUUCUUAUCUUUGACUUCAAGUAUAAAGAACAUAUUCAGGUUAGAAGUCCAGGAUGAUCUGCUAAAUAACGUUUAUCCUCAUGAAGAUCUAAAAAAUAAUUGAAAUUUUUUUUUUGAAUUUUCAUACAUUUUAUUGUAAAGUAACUAGUCGUAAGUAUGUCUGAUAAGCCCCCAAAUUUCUGUUAUCUUUUUGGUCAGGGGUAGAAUGGUCUUUUCUGGUAUUAUGGCUGUUAUUGGCUGUUUUGUUAGUGGGAACAACACCUGAUUAUGUUGGUUGUUAUUCCCUUUUGUUUUGUUUCUAGUGGUAGUAUAUAUAGUCCUUUUGUUUUAGAGACUCCGUAGCUAAGAAUCAUUAUGAAUGGAACUUUGUUCUUUCUUGGAGAUACCCACAUCUCGAAAGCUGGGAAUUAUCUUAAUAUCAUCACGUAAUUCUGUUAGAUCAAGGGUUAAAAUGCCUGGAGUUUAUGAUAGAUUCAACAAGGGUCUAUCAAUGUCGAUUGUUUAUAAAAGAAACAGGAUAAUAAUAUUACCACUGAUGAAAAUGAAUGGGACAAGCUUCUAGUCAGGUAUGCCGUUUGUUUAUUAUAUUAUAGCAUCCUACAUUUAAUUUCUUCUUAUUAAGGCAAAGGCAUUGUAUUUUAGAAUAUUCUAUCCAAUUACAACAGUGUCAUCCUAAUCCGAAUAUAGAGGAGUUUUAUUUAUUUUUUAUUUUAUUUUUUUAAGAUAGAGAGAUUAUAUAUUAAAAUUACAAUGUUGCAAAGAAUAAAUAUAUGGAAGUACAUUGCUAUUGUUUGAAUGUAGUCAUUACUGUGAUUAUUGUGGAUGUUUAGAUCAGAGAAGUGCCAGAGUGAAGAGGAAGCAACACUUGGUCGAGGGAAGAGGGUAAGAAAAGUUGUUUCCUGUAGGGAAGUAUAUCCCCCCUUCACCCAACAGACCAGGUACCUAAUUUUCUCUUUAUUAAUUAUUAUUAUUUGUUUUCAUUAUUUAUAUUUGUAUUGUAUCUAUGACAUUAUACGAAUAUUGAACAAAAAGAUAAAAAUUAUUCCAUUUUUGGGCAUAUAAUAUCUCUAUCUAAUAUAUAACCAUGUUGACAUUCAUGUCCGAAUUAAUUAUCUCUUAUUUUUUAGAAGUGAUUUGAACACCUUCACCUUGCCAUAUUAUGAUUUAAAAUUUCAAUGUUUUUAUUAUAUCUACAGAAAGGUGAAUAAUACCAUAAUAUAUAUUUUAUUAUAUCUACAGAAAGGUGAAUAACACCAACAUUAGAGUUUAAUUGGGUGAUUGAAGGUGAUGUUGGUUCUUGAAACGAGACUCAAGAUAUCAUAUUUUGGCAUGGCUAGAAGCUUUGGAGGAAACGAGACUCAAGCAAAAGUAAACACACAGAGAAUUGUUGACACAUAGUAAGCUAGAUGAUGCAAUUGUAUAUAAAUGAGUUCAUUUUUUUUUAUAACAUUUACUCACUAUUGGAAUAAUUAUUUGUAUUUGACAUAUUAGUGAAAUGAAUUAUCUUUGUUAUUUAUGGUAUUUUAUUUUGUAUUAUGAGAUUUUUAAUGUACUAUUUAAUUUGAAAAUUAGUAAAUCUAUAAAUAAUAUUUUUUUUAAUCAUUUUAAAUUAUGAUACGCAAAAAAGUGUGUCAUCUUCAUUUAUGACAUGGAAUUUCUUGACAGGGGCUUUCUUGAUACGCAUUGCGUGUCAUUAACACGCGUGUCGUAAGAUUACGACAUGCGAAUGCGUGUCGUCUUCCUUUAUGACAAGGCCUUCCUUGAUACGCAUUGCGUGUUGUAAACGCGCGUCGUAAUUGCGCGUCGUAAAUGAGCGUCGUAAAUGCGUGUCGUCUCUCUUUAUGACAUGGUCUUCCUUGACGCGCAUUUGCGCGUCGUCUGAGCCUUUUACGACGCGCAAUGCGCGUCGUAAAAGGCUGUUUUUCUAGUAGUGUACCCGUGAAAAAACAACUACAAAGUUGAGUUGAGGAAGCCCGAUUUCGAAACAUCUUGCAACCUAAAAAGGACAAGACAAGUUUAAUUAAUGUAUUUACCUAAACAUGUGAUCAUGAGAAGAAAUCAUUUCUUUAUUUUUGUUAUACUUACCACGGGGAAUCCAAAUUAAGAGCCCAAAAGCAACAAGGGCUACCAAAGGAGCAACAGAAAGAGGACUAAAAAAUAUAUAAUGAUGUUAAACAAAGAACACAUGAAAAUAGAACAAUCACAGUUGUGAUAAGGGAAGUUUUCACAAAACUACUACAUUUUCCACAUUUUAUCCGAAAAACCACUACUUUAUUUUUUCUUUACGAAAAACCAUUCAUAUUUCAAAAAGUUCAAAAAAUAAAACAUUUAUAUUGACAUUUGUUUUUCAAAAAGCAUUAUUCUUUAAGAAUACAAUAUAGUUGAGCAUGAAACAAAGCUUGUUAACCAUUAGGGGUGAGAAUGGUUCGGUCUGCUUUUGGUUUUAGUAAAAAAGUCGAAUUAUUUUCACCGAGAGUUGUUAAUAAUAUAUAUUUCAUGGUCAGAAAUUCCGUUGUAUUCGGAAGAAAAAAAUGUUUUUAAAAUCAUCAUGUUUUUAUUUUAAGAUUUAUAAAUAUGAAUGGUAUUUCUGAAAGAAGCGUAUUCCUAUGCUUGUUCUUUCAAGUUUGAUAAUCUGUUUGCAGCAGCACAAAGCACCAAAAGUGGCAUACAAAAGUAAAAUCAUCCAUUUUAAUAAAAGCAUUUGUAAUCUAUAAUAGUAAAAAAUCAAAAAGAAUGUAUCUCAUCGCUUGUGAUCCUUCAAUAUUCAUGGCUGUCAUCCUGGUAUUUAAAAUAAAUAAAUAAAUAAUCAUUAGAAUUUGUUUAACAAUAAAGAAAAUAACAUAAAUUAAUCAAUUUCAUUAUCAGUGCAGUUGAUCGUGAUUCAUCUCAUAUUCUUAUUCAAGCAAUACAGCGUUUAACUUUAAUUAAACACAUAAAACAAUUUGUAGUGUUUGCUUAAGACCUCCAACCAUCUUUCCCACAUCUUUUACUUUUUUGGCGGGGACAAAAAACGAUAAUUUUAAGCAGGGGCAUUAUGGUAAUUUACACACAUGAGAGAUCAAGAAUGCAUGAGAGAGAGAUAAAAAAUGUGUCCCUAUCCCAUCUUUCUCACAUUUGGCAGAGACAAAAAUUAAGAAUUUUGACCAAGGGCAUUAUGGUAAUUUAGACCUUCUGGUUCAAGGGUUUAAUUCUGACUAGGGGCAUUAUCAUGGUAAUUUACACACAUAAGAGAUAAAAAAUGUGUCCCAAUCCCAUCUUUCCAACAUCUGUCAGGGACAAAAAAUGAGAAUUUUUAGCAGGGGCGUUAUGGUAAUUCUAUACCAUCUUGUUUAAAGGUCUGGCUUUGAACUUAGGGUCUUUGUCCAAUUCUUCUUUUUCUAAUUCUUCGUUGUUUUAAUGGUUGGAGAUCAUGCUCCCACUAACAUUUGUAGUGGUGGUGUCUUAGGUGUUUAUAUUUUACUUAGAGUAUCUUUCUUAAAUUAAUGAAUAUCUAAAGAGACAUAUUUAGACGGUUCUUAUAUUUUACUUGAAAAUGCUUGCACAUAUGGAAUACAUUUUUAAUAGAGACAACACUUUUUGUAAGACCCUAAAACUACAUUCACCAAGUAUAUACAAGGGUGUGUAGUAAGAUGUGGCUUCCAUUUGUGAACAAUGUUCUAGAAAAAAAACAAUCAACCAAAAUACUAAAGAAAAAAAAAGAAACAAAUUUAAAAAAUAUCCAAAAUACUAAAAGUUCACCUGUGGGGCUCAUUCAUUUGACACAACAGUGAAAGUUUCAGCAUUCUGAUUGGGCUCUUUUCAUUGUCUGCAAAUGAAAUUAUUGGAAUUUGGGAACAUGAGGUGUAAUUCUUUUCAUCGCGGAUAAUGUUGGAGCUUUGAGUAUCUGUUGAAACAACAUUUUUUUUAACAAAAAGAAAAAUCCAUUUUCGAUUUCUUGAUUUAAAUUUUAGAAUGAUAUUUAUUUAUUAACUUUUUUUGUUGACCGGACGAGCCUUGAAUUUUGUGAUUUUGGCCAUCGUUUAGGGUAAAAAUUCAAGAAAGUGCAACAUACUUUCACGUAAAGUACAUAUGUGUGUACAAAUAUCCAGUUGAUUUUUCAAUGUAACAAACUUAUUUAGGGUUAAAUACCAACAUACUUUCAUUGAAAACUAAAAACUCAGUAUUUAAGGUUGAAAGAAGUUAGAAGAAUAAAAAUGUAUGGUUAAAAAAACAUCAUUGAAUGUAUUGUGCUAGAACUUGGUAGAGUUUUCAAGGUAACAAACUUAUUUAGGGUUAAAAACCUGUUGGAAUAAUUUAUAAAAUAGCAGCACAUUUUCAAGGAAACGGUACAAUGCUAAGAUAUAACAACAUACUUUAAGUGCAAUGCUAUAAUAGGCAAAAAAAGGUUACAUGUGAGACUGAAGAAGCACGAGGAGGCAGAUUUAGAUCCUUUGUGCCUGAUUGAAAUUUCCUCAUCAUUUCAGUCACAAAAACAAAUGGAGUCUGUGCAUGUUCACAAACAUACAUCUGUUCGUUUAAAGAAGAAAUUUAUGUCUUUUACACAAAAAGUUAAUGCCAUCAACUUUGUUAUUAUAUACAAAUAAGAUUAUAUUGGCAUUAUGUGAAAUAACCACCGUACCCUUCAUUGAGAAGUCAUUUUUAGAUUGUACAAUAUUAAAUAAAUACUCGGUUAAACCGGUUACAUAAUAAUAUGACAAUUUAUAUUAUGUUAAAUUACAUUUAAAGUCCCUCUGUAUUAGUGAAAGUUACUAUCCUUUAAAAAACUAUUUUUUCACUCGAACCUUUUUCUGUAAGUAUUAUUGUCCCUUAUUAGUGAUAUACAUUUACGAUCAUUCCCUUAUUUGUUUUUUUUUUUAAAAUACAAACAAUAUUUGAAAUUUAUUUCAUAAAACAUAAAAUGAUUAUCGUCUAAUAAAAUACUAAAUUCAUCACCUUUUUCAUUUUCGGAUUCAGCUUCUUUGAAUUCAUCCUCAUCCACAUUCUCUUAUCUCGUUACACCGGAACCACCUUCCCCCUUCCCUAAUAUUUCCAGUUCAUGAUCAUAAUCAUAAACAUAUUUGAUAAAUCCAAAAGUAGUAAUUUUCUGCUUUUCCUUUUUUUUUUUUUUUUUUUUUCAGAUUCACAGCUUUCUACUGUUGCUUCUUUUGCACUUGAUUCCCCAUCAUCACAGGAACCACCUUUCUCAGCCUGUUGCUUCCCUUUUUCCAAUUCAUCGGGUUCCAUCAGCAUGGCUUCUUCUGCUUCCUUACGUUCAAAAUACUCAUACCAACAACGUUGGUUAAACUCCUGCACAAAAUUCCUCUUGUGCUGUAGAACAUCCGCAGGCUGCAUUCAUACAACAAAUUAAAACCUUAAUUUAUAUAUAUAUAUAUAUAUAUAUAUAUAUAUUAAUUAUAAAAACUUAAUUAUAAAUUAAGAACAAUGGAUUAAUCACCNNNNNNNNNNNNNNNNNNNNNNNNNNNNNNNNNNNNNNNNNNNNNNNNNNNNNNNNNNNNNNNNNNNNNNNNNNNNNNNNNNNNNNNNNNNNNNNNNNNNNNNNNNNNNNNNNNNNNNNNNNNNNNNNNNNNNNNNNNNNNNNNNNNNNNNNNNNNNNNNNNNNNNNNNNNNNNNNNNNNNNNNNNNNNNNNNNNNNNNNNNNNNNNNNNNNNNNNNNNNNNNNNNNNNNNNNNNNNNNNNNNNNNNNNNNNNNNNNNNNNNNNNNNNNNNNNNNNNNNNNNNNNNNUAUAUAUAUAUAUAUAUAUAUAUAAACAAUAAUGAUUCAGAAUACUAAAAGACCAAAAUACCCUUGCCCCAAUUACGAGCUUUAGACUUUUAAUCUGAUUAAUAGGCGUGUUUGUCAUAAUGCAACUUCCAGUGAUGACGAUCUACAGGAAUAUAUCAUAUACAUUCUUCCAUUGAAAGAGAAAGUAUGAAAUUUGUUAAAAACAUAGUUUGAUGGAAAUAGAACAUAGUUUUCACAGGAUGAUACAAUGCGCACUUUCAGCUACAAAAGAUUUUGCAUUUGACAUAUAUAAGCUGAAACAAGACUAUUUUUAUAUGUCAGGCCAUAGAUUUCAGAUAUAGCUUUGUUAAAUGUCCAAAAUACCCCUCUGUUUGAUCCCUUUAACACUAUAACCUUGUCAAAAAUGCAACGUCUAUUUGACAUAAGGUAUGUGCUUGUAGGAAGGAACAAACCCAACGGUCAUUAGAUCACAGGAUUAAAGGAAGAAGCUCUUAUAUGGAAAAAAGCUAACAAUCAGAGAUGGUGAUAUAAUAGAGUUAAUCCUUGGGUACUAAUUAUUCAAAUAUACAGAUCUUGAUGAUGUAAGAAAAAAUUCUUCACCAAACAUAUAGAAAAGACCUUUAACCGAAGGAGUUCAAGAUGAGCCACUUGCACAAAAGAGAUUGUGACAAGUUUCUGAAGAUGAGGCCCUUGCUAGAAGAUUACAGGUAUUUUUCUUAUAGUACUACAACUUCACUUGUUUAAGUUGUUUUUUUCUUUUCGAAUUAAUGGACUUAAUGGGGACAACACUUAAUCUGGACAAAUAAACAGUGGUGUUUCUUUGUGAUUUGUUAUGGCUCGUACAAUGGUAUUACUAAUAGGGAAAUUCCUUUUUUUAUGAUUUAUUGAUUAUGUAUGAAUUAUGUUUAUGUAUUCAUCUUUAACAUACCAAAUGAGCUUAAUGAAGAUGCCUAAGAUACAAAGAAUCCUACUGAGGCAAUCUGCAAUUUCAAGCCCUCACAAGAUAAAAUACCACAGACCUUUCGACUAAUGCGAUUCAAAGGAACAAUUUUUAUAAACUUGAAUUACCUGCACUAUUUCACGCAUUCGGUAUUCUACAUCAGGAGAAGAGCUAAUUCAGCAUCUGGAGACAUUAUUUAUGUCAAUGCCCUGUGCGAUGACCUCAACUGUCUCCUGUGGUACCGAUUUUUGGUAUCAGUGAUAACGCAUAGGAUCGAUUCAAUUGUGUUAUGUUUUCUGUUAUAGAUUGAAGGAAUGAAUUAAGGUUUAGAACAAAAGAGAUAGAGGUACAUGAAUUAGAAAACUAAGAAGAUCAUGGAGAUGUUGAUAUAUGCUCUUGGCAUCUGUUCAACUAACAAAAAAACACCCGAAAAAUUCAAAACCACGAUGUGUAUCUAUGAUCGAAGAACAAAAAUAAAGAUUAGAUGGGAUGGUCGGUUACCUUCUUGUAGGUUGUAUCAGCAGCAUAUACUGACAGUGGUGGUAACGAAUGGUUGCCAAAGACUCAAGAUGUAAAGGAGAGACAUAGGAGAUAUGCUUUGAGAGCUUUUGACGAUGGUUGAUUGCACCAUGGCUGUGUGCAGAAAAAAAU
rnacentral:lncRNA from 1 species